rnacentral:rRNA from 1 species
AUUGAACGCUGGCGGCAGGCCUAACACAUGCAAGUCGAGCGGAGGAAGGGAGCUUGCUCCUGGAUUCAGCGGCGGACGGGUGAGUAAUGCCUAGGAAUCUGCCUGGUAGUGGGGGAUAACGUCCGGAAACGGGCGCUAAUACCGCAUACGUCCUGAGGGAGAAAGUGGGGGAUCUUCGGACCUCACGCUAUCAGAUGAGCCUAGGUCGGAUUAGCUAGUUGGUGGGGUAAAGGCCUACCAAGGCGACGAUCCGUAACUGGUCUGAGAGGAUGAUCAGUCAUACUGGAACUGAGACACGGUCCAGACUCCUACGGGAGGCAGCAGUGGGGAAUAUUGGACCAUGGGCGAAAGCCUGAUCCAGCCAUGCCGCGUGUGUGAAGAAGGUCUUCGGAUUGUAAAGCACUUUAAGUUGGGAGGAAGGGCAGUAAGUUAAUACCUUGCUGUUUUGACGUUACCAACAGAAUAAGCACCGGCUAACUUCGUG